rnacentral:lncRNA from 1 species
UCUAUCAGCAUCAGAUUUAUUCAAAACAAAUUGUAACUGGACUCGGAGGUGAGCAUCUAAAACAAGUAUGUUUCGACACAGAUAAGCUCAAUUAUUCCAUACAUUUGUCAAGAUAUUUUUUGGACACAGAAUAUUAAAAUAAUAAUAACUCAGGUAACAUAGUUCGGCUUAUACUUGGAACUAAAAAGAAAGUCCACAACACCAUAACAACUUCUCCCCCCCCCCCCAAAAUAAUCUUUUUUCUUUUAGAAAUAUUCAGCUGAAACAAAGUCUUUAUUCAUGUUAUGAAACUGAAUGGCAUCCAUAGUAAAAUAAUUCCUAAAAAAAGGUGAACUUUCAUACUCCAAAUUAAGCAUUUAAUUAGAUUCAAACAAAAACAUUUUUAAAAAAAUGGCAAAACAGAGAAAAAUGGGAAAAUGAAAUAAUUAUAAUAAAAAGGAUCUAGAAAUUUACCAUUUUUCUUAGCAGGAUUUGGGAUACAACCUUAGAAAUCCAAAUAUGAAAAUGUUGAAGCGGCUUCUGGCUUUCGUAUUUUAGGUUCUGUCAGUGAAACGAAAAUAUUCACCUCACCUUGGAUGAAGGGGAGGAAUGCCGGAGUCGGAGGAAGCAAGAAAUGGCUGUCGUUGAGUGUUUUUGAGGUAAGAAUUUGUGAGGGUAAAAUAGGGUUGAUUUGGGACGGAAUGGGUAAACGGUGAAGAGGGAAGGGAAUAGAAAUCCCCAAAUUUUUCUGCUUAAGGCCGGAAUGGAAUACACACGUAAUAGGUAUUCCCUUCAACCAAACAUCUGCUUAAGUGGGAAGCAGAAUAAGCUUGUAAUAGGCAAGUAAUGGCAUAGCCAUUACCUUCAACCAAACAUGCUGUCAGUAUUUCUUCUUAGUUCUUCAACGAGG